AUUGAACGCUGGCGGCAGGCCUAACACACGCAAGUCGAGCGGAUGAAGGGAGCUUGCUCCUGGAUUCAGCGGCGGACGGGUGAGUAAUGCCUAGGAAUCUGCCUGGUAGUGGGGGAUAACGUCCGGAAACGGGCGCUAAUACCGCAUACGUCCUGAGGGAGAAAGUGGGGGAUCUUCGGACCUCACGCUAUCAGAUGAGCCUAGGUCGGAUUAGCUAGUUGGUGGGGUAAAGGCCUACCAAGGCGACGAUCCGUAAUUGGUCUGAGAGGAUGAUCAGUCACACUGGAACUGAGACACGGUCCAGACUCCUACGGGAGGCAGCAGUGGGGAAUAUUGGACAAUGGGCGAAAGCCUGAUCCAGCCAUGCCGCGUGUGUGAAGAAGGUCUUCGGAUUGUAAAGCACUUUAAGUUGGGAGGAAGGGCAGUAAGUUAAUACCUUGCUGUUUUGACGUUACCAACAGAAUAAGCACCGGCUAACUUCGUG
rnacentral:rRNA from 1 species